GCCGGAGUAGCUCAGUGGCAGAGCAAUCGCCUCGUAAGCGAUAGGUCGCGGGUUCAAUCCCCGCCUCCGGCUCAA
rnacentral:tRNA from 4 species